rnacentral:rRNA from 1 species
GACGAACGCUGGCGGGAUGCCUAAUACAUGCAAGUAGGACGCAGUUGCGUACGGGUGAUUAACGCGUAGGUAACUAACUAUUAAUGGGUGAUAACUAUUGGAAACGAUAGCCAAUACCGCAUACUUGUAGAUUGACCUGCGUUGUAUGGGGUAGGAGGUAGGGUAAAGGCCUACCUAGGUAAUGAUACAUAGCCGACCGGGGAGGGUGAUCGGCCAAACGGGGACUGAGACACGGCCCAGACUCCUACGGGAGGCAGCAGUAGGGAAACUUCGGCAAUGGGGGGAACCCUGAACGAGGAACGCCGCGGGAGUGAAGAAGGUUUUCGGAUUGUAAAGCUCUGUUUUUAAGGAAGCGGUACUUAACCAGAAAGGGACGGCUAACUACGUGCCAGCAGCCGCGGUAAUAC